rnacentral:rRNA from 1 species
GAUGAACGCUGGCGGCGUACCUAAUACAUGCAAGUCGAGCGAACAGACGAGGAGCUUGCUCCUCUGACGUUAGCGGCGGACGGGUGAGUAACACGUGGAUAACCUACCUAUAAGACUGGGAUAACUUCGGGAAACCGGAGCUAAUACCGGAUAAUAUAUUGAACCGCAUGGUUCAAUAGUGAAAGACGGUUUUGCUGUCACUUAUAGAUGGAUCCGCGCCGCAUUAGCUAGUUGGUAAGGUAACGGCUUACCAAGGCGACGAUGCGUAGCCGACCUGAGAGGGGGGUGGGCCACCAGGAAAAUGAAAACCGGCCAAGCCUCCAACGGGAGGAGGAAGAAGGAAGUCUUCAGCAAGGGGGAAAGGCAUGAAGGAGAAAGGAGGGGUGAGGAAGAAAGGUUUUCGGAACAAAAAACUUUGUUAUUAGGGAAAAAAAAAUGUGAAAGUAACAAUGCACGUCUUGAGGGUACAUAAUAAGAAAGCCACGGAUAACUACGUG